CAAGUACUCCCUCCGUCCAGAAUUACUUAUCAUCAAAAUGGAUGUGUCUAGAACUAAAAUACAUCUAGAUACGUCCAUUUCAAUGACAAGUAUUUUCGGACGGAGGGAGUACAAG
rnacentral:pre_miRNA from 1 species